UACAGAGGGUGCAAGCGUUAAUCGGAUUUACUGGGCGUAAAGCGCGCGUAGGCGGCUAAUUAAGUCAAAUGUGAAAUCCCCGAGCUUAACUUGGGAAUUGCAUUCGAUACUGGUUAGCUAGAGUGUGGGAGAGGAUGGUAGAAUUCCAGGUGUAGCGGUGAAAAUGCGUAGAGAUCUGGAGGAAUACCGAUGGCGAAGGCAGC
rnacentral:rRNA from 1 species